AUUGAACGCUGGCGGCAGGCCUAACACAUGCAAGUCGAGCGAGCGGCGGACGGGUGAGUAAUGUAUGGGGACUGCCCGAUAGAGGGGGAUAACUACUGGAAACAGUAGCUAAUACCGCAUACUAUCGGAUCACCCAUAGGGGAUUAGAUAGUAGGUGAGGUAAUGGCUAACCUAGGCGAAGAACCCUAGCUGGUCUGCGAGGAGGAUCAGCAAGACGGGGACUGAGACUCGGCCCAGACUCCUACGGAGGCAGCAGUGGGGAAUAGUGCACAAUGGGCGCAAGCCUGAUGCAGCAAUGCCGCGUGUAUGAAGAAGGCCCUAGGGUUGUAAAGUACUGUAAGUCGGGAGGCGUUACCGACAGAAGAAGCACCGGCUAACUCCGUGCCAGCAGCCGCGGUAAGUC
rnacentral:rRNA from 1 species